UGGGGGUGGUAUUCUCGUCUUCGUAUUAGCAUCAAUAGUUGAUUAAGAAAGCACAAGAGAUGGCUGCUGGCAAGGUAUUUCUCAUCAUUUGCCUCAUAUACAUUCUGCCUGAGGUGUUGGUUGUGUGUAAUUGCCAAAGGUUCACCGGAAUUUAUCCCAGUCCAGAGAACAAAGCGUACGGAUCAGUGUACCCAAGUCCUUCAAGACCUGGUCAUGGAUGCCUCCUCCAAGCCAGUAGUCGAUGCCGAGGGCCUCCGCCACAUCCCUGAUCAAUUUGGUUCAUUUGGUAUCCAUAUGAAGCACACUCCCUAAAUUUCUGUUCCGAUGUUACACAUGUUACACACACACACACACGUGUGUGUGUAUAUAUAUAUAUUAUGUUCAUCUCAA